UACAGAGGGUGCGAGCGUUAAUCGGAAUUACUGGGCGUAAAGCGUGCGUAGACGGUUAUUUAAGUCGGGUGUGAAAGCCCCGGGCUCAACCUGGGAAUUGCAUUCGAGACUGAAUAGCUAGGGUACGGUAGAGGGAAGUGGAAUUCCUGGUGUAGCGGUGAAAUGCGCAGAUAUCAGGAAGAACACCUAUGGCGAAGGCAGCUCUCUGGGACGGUACUGACGCUGAGACGCGAAAGCGUGGGGAGCGAACAGG
rnacentral:rRNA from 1 species